UAAGACGUAGGGCGCAAGCGUUGUCCGGAUUUAUUGGGCGUAAAGAGCUCGUAGGCGGCUGGUCGCGUCGACAGUGAAAACCCGCGGCUCAACCGUGUGGUCUGCAGUCGAUACGGGCUGGCUGGAGUUCGGUAGGGGAGACUGGAAUUCCUGGUGUAGCGGUGAAAUGCGCAGAUAUCAGGAGGAACACCGGUGGCGAAGGCG
rnacentral:rRNA from 1 species